rnacentral:rRNA from 1 species
CCUACGGGGGGCAGCAGUGGGGAAUAUUGCGCAAUGGGCGAAAGCCUGACGCAGCGACGCCGCGUGAGGGAUGAAGGUCUUCGGAUCGUAAACCUCUGUCAGCAGGGAAGAACGGUCACUGUGCUAAUCAGCAGUGAAUUGACGGUACCUGCAAAGGAAGCACCGGCUAACUCCGUGCCAGCAGCCGCGGUCAUACGGAGGGUGCGAGCGUUAAUCGGAAUUACUGGGCGUAAAGCGCUCGUAGGCGGUAUGUCAAGUCAAGGUGGAAAUCCCCGCGCUUAACGUGGGAACUGCCUUUGAAACUGGCAAACUGGAGUGUGUGAGAGGAUAGUGGAAUUCCAGGUGUAGGAGUGAAAUCCGUAGAUAUCUGGAGGAACAUCAGUGGCGAAGGCGACUAUCUGGCACAUAACUGACGCUGAGGAACGAAAGCGUGGGUAGCAAACAGGAUUAGAUACCCGUGUAGUC